AUUUCGUGCAAGAGGAAAAAUUUUUAUCUCGUUUGACGAUCGAAAAUUGCUCCGGUGCAGCGGCGAGUGGCGGCGGUAGGUUCCCCGGUGGCUUGAUUAUCUUCUCCAGCGAUGGGCUCUAGCAGCUAGGGCUAGAGCUUGGGUACGAAUGGGGUUAUUUAUACCUAUUCGCUUUUAAUCUGGACCGUCCAUCACUUUUGAUAUGGACCAUCCAUCGUUUUUAAUCUGAACCGUCCGAUCGCGAUUAAAUAGGGAGUGAAUUUACGUCAUUCAUCGCGAUUCAAUCUGAAUCGUCCGUGCGCGAUACAAUCUGGGCUGUCUGUGCGCAUUUUAAAUCUGGGUCGUCCGUACGCGCGGGUACGGAUCUCAGCUGUUCGAUCGCGCGCACCCAGAUCGCCCACGUGGUUCCCCCCGC
rnacentral:lncRNA from 1 species